rnacentral:lncRNA from 1 species
UCGCGAGGAGCUCUAAUGACCCACGCGGCGGGUACGAGCAAAGCUGCGCAAAAUAAAGACGGCAUCUGGCAUCUGGCAGAAAAGCUCGAUAUCGGUAUCGAUACUUACCGCUUAUUCCACUUCAGGUAAGCGUCAGAAAACAUUCUGAGCCCAAGCAGAUAUUUACCCGCCUCUCUGGUCGCGUGCAUUUACUCCGGUCCUGCAGCCUCGGCAUUUUCUUGCAGAUCUAAGGCAGCACCUCGCGAACACUCCAGAAGGUAGCAGCUUUGGUAGCCCGGAAAAGCAGCAAGCAUGUCCGACAGCAACAUACAAGAGACCCGGGACGAGGUUGCUCAGGAAAAGGUGCGCGGUGUCAGUUUAUUUCGCCAGUAAAGUAAGCGACGCAGCAUCGUCAGCUCUUACCAGAUGUGUAUGUAAACACGCGAUGUAAACACGCGAUAAAUUGUAGACGUAUCUCUGACUGCAAGCUGCAGAAAGCUGCUGUUGCUGUUGCUACAAAUGUUCCUCACGUCACGCCGCCUCGUUCUUUAUAACAUCCUUAAGCUAGCCGGGGAGAAUCUGCGCACUGCAGGUCGUUAGCUCUAUUCUCAUCCCGCGGCCCAACCAGGACCGAUUGAUUGAACCCCUAACUAAAUACGUCCAGGCCCGGAUGGAUAGCGUUGGCAUAGGUUGCUCUUAGUGUCCUUCCCAUUUUUGCCGUGAUUUGGUUUAAAUGGAACUCCGCCCCUCCAGCUUUCCCACGCCUCUUUCUACCCUUCCUCCCCUCCUCUCGUUCCCAUCUUCUCCUUCCCCAUCUCUUUCCGCAGUUCGGUAAGAAGUUUGACGAGCUGGAGCCCAUGCAACGAAUCCAAGUGGGAGGCACCAUCGGCGGACGCUCCAGGUAGGAAUUGACCAUGUUUCUUCAAACGUUGUCAUCUUUUUGGACAACGCAGCUUUUAUGUGUGCGAUGUGUGCGAGUAGUUGCGUCACGAGCGCGACGCGACACGGCGGCGACAGCGUUGAUGCCGCCUGGGCGACUCACCCUCGAGAGCUCACCUACAGAGGGCUCCCAACGGCCAGCAGCGGGCAGCAGCUGCCGGCCUUGCGGCAUCAUCAUCAUCACCAUCAUCAUCAUCAUCAUCAUCAAGUAAUGAAAAGAGACCCAUACGAGGAAAAAAGUGAUGUCGUUGAAGUGUUGUUGUCCCUCUUCAAGAGGGAAGAGAUGCGCGAUGUUGCCUGUUUUGGGGUCCGGUGUAUCUGUUUACUUGUUUUCGGAACACAGCGCUUUCAAUGCCACUUACUGACCCGUGGGUCCUGACCCAUGCUUGCUUGGCGAUUGUGAGAUGUGGUGCUAUUCUUGCGGUGAGGGUAGAGAUAUCAGUCAUUCGGCACUUGCGUGCUGCUGCCACCACCACCACCACCACCAACAACAACAACAACAACAACAACACGAGGGCAGGCCGCAGUCCAGCCGCCGAUUUCCUUACCUGCAGCCCACAUAAAGCAUAAACACGCCGUCUGGUAUCGGCGGAUAACCCCCGGGGCCCGCCCCCCCCCACCUUGCUGUGCGUGUUCCUUUCGGCACCGAGGGCGGGGUGUUGCGUCUACCUCCCCCCACCCCACCCCACCCCACCCCACUGGUGCCCGCUGCCCCGCGGCUUCACGACGGGGGGAGGGGUUACAACGCAAAGAAUAAAGGUUUUGAAUUACCCGACAGUUGGGUCGGGUCUAGGAUAUGCUUCCGUAGAUUGUGGGGUUGUGGGGAGAGGUACAAGGCUCUUGAGCAUCUGAGCCCCCUCGUUGCCCCCUGCGUAUUAUGUAGGUUCCAUCGUACGUACGGCCUCUCGCUAACUCUUAUCCCAUGACAUGUUGCUACCGCUACUCCCCCCCCACCGUCAUCCGCACGACUUGCUUACAUACAUCUGUACAUACAUACACACACACAGGGGAGACGCUGGCGGCGGCGAUCAUCACGAGCACCUGGACAGAGUGGCUCAGGAGAAGGUACGACAUGCACGGUUGUCGUACGUACGGCUGCCUGGCAUCCAUCCAGCGCCAGGCAGGGUAUGGAACGGAGACGUACUGACCUUCCUUCAGGUGUCGACCUCCCGUCUUGUGUGCUCGGCAGGACAGCGGUCUUGUUGCGGGAAUCCCGAACAUUACCCUUUCUCUUCCUCUUCCAUGAAAAUCCGAACAACGGUUUUUCUUUGUUUGGAGAGUCCAGGAUACCCCCAGCUACUCCCGAGCGCUCUCGAGUACCUGUCUGUGUGCAGUAGCUGCCGCUGCUGCUGCUGCUGCUGCUGCUGCUGCUGCUGCUGCUUGCAUGCUCGCCCCUGCUGCUCUCCUCUGUCCUCCUCCUCCAUCCAGCCAGCCCACCUAAACGUUACAUGUUGUACCCUUCAUACAAUGUGUGUACACCAGGAAGGGUGCAACCAUUCAUACAAUAAUCUCACCGCACCCUCCUUUUCCCCUCCUCGCAAUGUGUCGGCCAUGUAUGUAUGUAUGUAUGUGAUGUGACCCGUGGCGGUCUUUUCGCAGUUCGGUAAGAACUUCGAGGAGCUGGAGCCCAUGCAGCGAAUCCAAGUGGGGGGCACCGUGGGUGGCCAGGUGGGUGCGCGUGUGUGUGUAUGUGUGUGUGUGUGUGUGGAGGUGCCCAUGAGGAGGGUGAUGGGGUGGAUUGGGGGGCCCCUUGUUGCUUAGGCGGCUAGGGAGGGGUGAUGUGAGCGGGUGAGGUGUGAUGUGUGAGCGGAUGGUCGUAGAAGGUCAAUAAUAGUAGGUGCCUUCCUCUCGUUCACCCAUCCCCCCCCCCACACACACACACGCGUGUUUUUCGUGUGCACGCGAUUUUGUGCCAGGGGUGGCCCCGGGUUUGGGGAGGGGGGAAGGCUGGUGGGUAUGAGACAGCAACAGUCGUUGGUGAACCCGGGAUAUGCGCGCGUGGAGAGGUAUGGGGUGAGGGUUUGGGAACGGCGUCCCUCGCGACGGGCCCGGAAGGUCGGAGACGGACGGAGGGGUAGAGGACGCGGGCGGUUGCGACGCGAGGGGUCUUCUUUCUCCAAUUCCAAGUACGAAGGGCAUCAUGUGAAGAAUGUGUGUGUGUGUGCGUGCGUACUAGAGCAACCCCUGCCUAGUUAAGGGAGUUAGCUAAACCACUAAACACAUCCUCCAUACAACCGCGACACGCAGGCUGGCGGUCUGUACACGGGCACCGGUGGGGAUGAGUGAGCGAGGGAGACCGGGACGGGCGGAUGAGGGCAUGGAUAGCUGGAUGAGGGGCACAGCAGUACUCCCCCCAAACCCCAAACACAGUACUUGGCGGUCACCAGUACUUCGCAGCGGACCCCGCAGCGGUUUCGAGGAGGAUGGGGUUCCUGGAGGAGGUCGCUAUUGCUAACUAACUGCUAAUUAGUUGUGCUGUGUGUACCACAAAUAGUUGGGACGUUGCGGUGGCAGGCAGGGAUGUGAAUGGGGAUUGCUUUUUGACGAUUAUGCG